rnacentral:rRNA from 1 species
CCUGAGAAACCCAAAAGAUCGAAUGGGGAGAUUCAUCGUCAGCUCAUUUUGUAUAUAUAUUAGAUAUGAUGUGGGUUACUACUUGUUAGUAUUGCCUAUACAUUCUUAUAUAUUUAAUUGCUUAAUGUUGUCGGCGUGCACUUCUCCCCUAGUAGAACGUCGCGACUCGUUUAGUGUCGAUCUACGGCUCAAGUAAUUGUCUUUAAUGUAAUUUAAAAAUCAUUAAAAAUUCUUGAUGUUUUCUGAUCGACUACUUGGCGAUAUUCAAACGGUAUUUAGCCGCAAUUUAUUAUGCGUUCAUGUCCGUCGCAAGCGAGGCCAAUUUUUUUUAUUUAAGUAGUACGGACCUAGUUGCCGUCGCUUAUAUUGGCCAGCUGUUGGUUGUACGGUGUUCUAGAACUGGCUAUAUUAUAAAAUUACCGGUCGGCGAUGCUACUGCUUUGGGUACUUUCAGG